rnacentral:ribozyme from 1 species
GCUGCUCUAUAAAUAAUCACACACCUCUCCGUGGUGAACAGCAGGCAACGAUCUUAUGGUCGGCUGAGAUGUGAUA